AUGCUGUCUCUGGAAAGGAAAAGAAAGAAUCCCAAAUCAUCCACAGAUGGUACAACUUUCACUUUUCCUCUCUUAGGACCGAGGCGCGCCUCUUUCUCCCGGCUCACUCAUACCCCACCCCCGAUGGGAAGCGCAAGCUGGAGGAAGCCCCCGCCGCGGCGCUCCUCGCGCGCACCCACCUCACCGCCCGCCGCCUUCAGCGCCCGACCCUCGGGGGCUAGCGGAGUUCCUUUCAGCCCUCGGGAAAAGGAGUCGGGGCGAGGGGAGCAGUCGCCGCAACUGCUCCAAACUUCGUCCCCCGACCUCCCAACUCCGGGAGGUGAAAUUCUCCAGCCCGUCUCCGGAUGGCCGCCAGUGUAUCCAGCCUGGACCUGUAACCCAAACAAGGAGUUCCCAAGGGAGGAACAACGAAAGGAAAAGAAAACUCUGGUGGCAUUCCCGAAUCCAUUCUUCCUGGGGUCAUCUGAGAUUCCGCCCACCCUCCGGUGGCCGCCCGCAGCGCCUCGGAGCUCAGGGGCGAAGUUGGGAAAACUUGGGAGGAGUGCGGCUCGCCUUACUUUUGCUUUCUCGCUCCUUCCUGGCCGCGCCGGGGCCCGCGCUUCCCCACCCGCCGAGUCCCUGCUCCCGCAGUGGAUCCCAGCGGCGACGCGGGCGGCUACGCGGGCGGCGGCGCGGAGGCGGCCCGGGCCGGGGUCGGG
rnacentral:lncRNA from 1 species